rnacentral:lncRNA from 1 species
UUUACUAAACUUGGUGCAUUGCUAGGAAUAAAAAAAGACAAAGAAUCUAAAUUUAAAAAUCAAUAGCUAUAGCGCUUCCAAGUUAUAACCAUGCAGAACUUGCCUUGCUUGACGAGUGUUUGAAUUUCAAACUGAUGAAUUAGGUUGCAAGAACAUGAGCUCAUAAAAAUCAUCCUUUUCCUGCUCUCAUCUCAUACUACCAUAUAAUCAACAUUUCAUCUUCCUUUUUUUCCUCUAUCAUUUCAGUACUUUGGAGACAAGAAGCAAAAGUGUUUGUGUUAAUUUUUUUUUCACUGUUCCAGCAGAGAAACUCAGGACAUGAAUCAUAGAGCUAACAGCCCCGGAAAAGAGAGAGGCUGGCACAAAUAGAAAUUACAUUUGGUUUUAUAAUUAACAACAUAGGGAGCACUUUAGGACACAAUUAUUUCCCAAGUGUCAUUGAUUGUUAUCUCUCUGCUGCCAUUUUCCCAUACUUAAGUCCUCACAGUAUUAUCGUUAUCUGAGUCUGUAUACAGUUUCUCUCUUUGGCACACACUGUGUUCUUUUCACCACUGAUAUUUCUGAUGUUUCAAACACUAAGUGACUUUUCUUCAGGCUGCUAGGAGAUAACAGAAUUCAUCUGUAGCCCUUGGCCAUUCACACCUUCAGACUUCACUCAUUCUUCUCUCACCAUCUCUCUGUGACUAGGGACUGUCCCCUCUUCUGUGAGUUUUUAAAGAGUCUGAGAAUGGAGAAAAAGGACUCCGAAGCUUAUAAGCAAUAGGAGAGGUACAAGAGAAGAAAUGCAACUCCAGAAAAAUAUCUGAAGCCUCUCCUGUGUCAUAUUUGGCAAGUGCCCUUUCCUCUACAACCACUGAUGAAUGAGAAAUCUUGGAAAAGAAGCAAACUGGAAGUCAGGAGGGACAUGUCAAGGGAGUUGUGUAUUCCAUUUUUAAAAAUAAAGAAUCUACAAUUCAAAGAUUGUGCCAAAUCAGAGAAGAAAAGGAAAAUUGUUGCUUGGAGAGAGUGUGGAGAGGGAAAGAAUACAGGAAAAGAAGAAGAUGACAGAAAAGGAUGA